CCCCCCCCAACCUGGGGUUUGCUCACAUAACUGCGUUUCUGGCUAGCACGAUGGUUGCAUUGCUUUUAUGUAUCGCUGGCUUGUUGGUUUUAUUGAGAUGGGACGAAAGCGUAGCACAAAACUGAAGCUGCAGUGGAAAAGCCACAUUACACUCUGAGCAGCUUUAUCCUGCAAUUAAGCUGAGGGUCAAACAUUUCCUUUGCUGUGCUAUCAGAAAAUCCGCUGGCUUAUUGCAGUGUAUAUUUAGCCAUGAAGUUCCCGCUGAGCUCAGAGUGGAAGGCUGAAAUUAUUGUGCUCCAUCCUCCCAGCGCUCUCAUUUAGCACAGUAGUUUUAAACACAGGUUUUGCAUGCAGGAAACCCUACGAACCACUAAAGUGGAGUGUUAGCUGCUUUCCUGCAUUUAAAAAAAAAAAGAAGAAGAAGAAGAAAGAAAAAAAAAGGGAUAUAUAUACAUGUAUUUUGGUUUGGCAGCAAGCUGCAUGGAGCAGCUCGCACGCAGCCUUCAGCCCCAUGCGCUGCAGCUCACCUGGGGGAUGCUUUGCUCUGCAGGAGGAGCUGCCAAACCCAGCUCUGCUGAAGCAGGCUCCAAUUUUACAUCCGACGUUGGCUCAGGCUGCUUCCAGCCCUGUGCUUAGCACUGCAGGAAGGAAGCUUUCAGGGCAUCCUCCACUGCUCUUCCAAGAGAGUCACCAAGGGGAGCGUACCCGCUGCUAGAGCUUGGCGCUGCUCAUCAUUAACCCUUGGGUGCUUCAGAUCAGAUCCUAAAAGCCCUCUACAAACACCAUCCGCAACCACAAGCUGUUUCCCUCCAUCCCGACCUGGAUUUAUCACUGGGAGACAGAUAGAUUUUUCCUUCUUUCUCCCCAUCCAUUUAUUUCACCCAAUGAGACGAUCCAUCACGGCGCGCUGGAACCGACCUACGAUCCGGGGAUAUUCUUAGAUACUCAGCAUGUCAGGAAACGGCUCACAGCCCCACUUGAUGCAAAUAUUUGGACGAGCGAGAGGUAGGAAGGAUUGUCCAAAUGUUUACUGAAGGCUGUUGAUAGCCCAAGGAUUUAUAACUGGCGCAUAAUGCCUGCCCCCACACAGCUCCUCUAGCAGGUGCAUCCAGUUUCAGCAUGACACAUGGUAUGUGCGUGCUCUGGGAACGGGGAUGCAGGAGAAAGUGCUUUCACAGGUCUCGCCUCCCUCUUCCCAUCUCCAUUAAGGUUUGGAGAGGCAAGAAGGGAGCCCAGGGCCAGCUCUGGUGAUAGAGAGCCUCAGCAGCAGUUCACAUGUGAAGACAGAACAUAAGCAUUGAGCGCUUUGGGUUGGAAUUUGCCAAGUGAAGCCAAGGCUCUGAAUUAUUGAGGCCCAUUGUCACACUCCUUCGGAGCUGAGAUGGAGAAAUUCACAUCAUUCUAGCUAUUGCUCUUUGCAUUUCACUUCCUAACUCACACCAUCAGGGUUUGAUCUCUUUUGUCUCACAAUAAUCCCUAAUUACUGUUGAGGGCACAUCACUGCUUACUGAUUGGGUUUAAUAUUUUCUAGUGUCCAAGGAGCAGCAGUUUUUUGGUGGCUUUGAGGACCCCUAUGGAAAUGCCCCAGCAUCCAGGCAGCCCCUACACCAAUAACAGAGAACAACAAGCUCAGAGCAGAUCAUGUUGGCCAACUAGAGUUGGAGAUACACUCAAGGAAAGCUUCAGUACCUUGCCCAAGGCCAAUGAGUGAAGGCAUUCAAUGGCAAAAGAAGUCAGUUUGCUGAUACCCUGUCCUGCAUAGAUGCUCUCAAGUUGCAGGGAGACCUCAGAUGACUCCAACACAACCUCUUGUUCUGAGCAUGACCCAUACAAGAUCAGUUUGCUGUGGCUUUGUGUAGCUGAGCCUUGAAAACCUUCAAGGACAAAGCCCAACAGCCAUGCACACAGAUAGUUCAGGCAGCAGAGAAACUGUUGGUGCCCUUUUGCCCAUCCAACCAGGCUCUCAGACUCUGCCAGGGGCUGUUUUGUCUGUAAGCAUUUCUACAUGGCAUUACUGAGAAUCCUAUGGAGCAGGAGAAAUGAGCGCAGAGCUGAGUCACUCCAGCCUGCAAAUUGCCUUUUCCUCAACCAUUUGCUAGAUUUUAACUAUCCUAGGAACAAGAACACAUGCACUCAGCAUGCUGUAGACGCCCAGACAACGUGCUUUUCUGUGUAAGGAGCAGCAAUUGUAUCUGCUGCAGAACAGCCUUUAAUUCAUUGCAGCCCUGGACGGCAGAGUUUGCUGACUGCUCAGGCAGGAAUACAAUGGCCCUAUUGUUUUGCUAAGGGAAGAUUUCUUUGUUGCACUCUAAUGUGUAAACUGUAUGUUUUCUAUUUGUUACCUGAUUCGUUUCAAUGGAAUCCCUUAGAUAGGCUUAAGGCUGUCUGCUGUCCUGUGCUAGAGCAAUGGGAGAAGCUGGGAGGUUGAGGACCUGGUUGUUAGUGUUCCUUCUAUUUGGCUUGCUCGGAAAGAAGGAAGAGAAUUUGGUGUUCUUUGUGGGAGCAGAAACUGCAUAAUAAAAUACAUGGGGGAAAAAAGUAGUAAGUGCUCAAAUUCCAAAAGUCAUCUUCUGUGCUCAAUGAAGGUUUUCUUUAUAUACCAAAAGAAUUUAGUCCUGGUUUUGGUGUCACAUUCUCAGUGUGACCUUAAAAGUGUAGCUGUAACUCAGACUAAACCAGAUUUCUCUCUCCUUGAACCUAUUUCUCAACAAUCACCCAACAGUGUGGAAAUGUGUUUCCUAGAUGAGAAUCUUGAGCCAUCAACAGGCCCCAGGCCAGAGGGAUUCUGCAAAUGCAUAUGGUGGUCAUGCCUUGCACAGCCCAAAGCCUUCUUCACAGCUGUGCCAACCAUGUUUCCAUACCAAUCUCUCCAAUUUCUCUUCGUGUUAGCAGUGGGAUUAUCUCCCUGGACUUGCUGGGUUGUGGUAUGGAGACAGUCUCCCUAUAGAUCUCCUUCCACAGGUUCUCCUCUCCCCAGACCCUUUGUGUAGAUGGAGUAAAUCUGGGGUUCAAAAGAUUGGUAAAAGGAUUGGAUUAAAGGCAUUGCAGCCCAAAAAUACAAGCCUAAAAUCUGAAUUUGCCUGUCUGAACCCAGACGCAUCCACAGUGCAUGGGGGCAACAGCAAGCUGUGGCAGAAGAGAGGAUCUUCUGCAGAUAAGUUCUCUGGCCUCUGUCAGAGCAGAUUUAGGAGAGGAAGACUGUGGAUAUCCAGUUAAAAACUGCAAAACCAGUAGGAUCUGGUCCAGGCUUAACCAAAGCAAAAAUAAAUCAGCUCAGUCACUGGUGUGUUUCAGUGCAUUUGGGCUUAGAGGCGAUGUGGGUGAUGGCUUGUGGUCCAGACCAGCGUGGUGCUUUUAGAUAUAUAUAAUUAGACGUUUUUUCUGCUGCAAACCAUUACUGACAGAUUGAAAGGGUUUCAUUCUGCAGGAUUUUUCUUGCCUUGUCUGCCAGGGAGCAAGCAGGCCUCACUCAAACUCUGCUUCGUUGGUGUAAAUCACAGCAUGGGGCUACCUUAUCUCAGCCAGAGCCCCUGUGCAGGAAUGCUGCUCUGUCCAGCCCUCAGGCCACCCACCCCUGAUCCCAGGCUCCAGCAUCUGCUCCAGGCUCCAGCUCUGACCCUUCAGAGACGUAUUUUUGCAAGGUCAGGAGGUUGGGUGGUAAAAGGGGAGUGGAGAAUAGCAGGGAAACAGUGAAGGCUGGCUCUGCAAAGGGAUUUCAGGAGGAUGUUUACACUCGCCAUUAAAUGCAGGCUUGAGCCUGUUCUCUUCUCCAGAUUCACUACCCAUCUGCACUGUUUGCAUGCAAGCAUGCAUGAGGCACAGGCACGGUCCCAGCUUCAAAGCCUUCUGGAUGAGGGUGGUCCAUGCAUGCUCUGAACCCUUGGGCCUUGGUUGUGCAACUUGGGCCAAGCACAGCAAGGUAGGAGCAGUGAGACAGCCAGCCCUGCUGGGCAUCUCUGGGUCCUUCACAGGGCAACAAGAAUGCUUUCAGCACCAGUUAAAAUGUCAUAGAGAAAAACCAUAUGGAAAAGAGGCAGAAGAAGGAUUGGAUGUGGCUCUGGGCAAUCUGGUCUAGUGGUUGGAGACCCUGCACAUAGCAAGGGGAUGAAACUAAAUGAUCCUUGUGACCCUUUUCAAUCCAGACCAUUCUAUGAUUCUGUGAUUCUAUGAUUCUAUGAUUGGGUCAAGAGCCUUUCCAAGAAACGGCUGCACAGGGGUCGCUGGACACAGCCUGACUAUCAUCAGGAACAAGGAGAGACUGUGCUUGCAUCACGCCAGGAGACAUUUUGAUUAAGAGAGAGCAUUCCAAGCAAAAUUCUGAUUUUCUUAAACUGUUAAACUGAAAAUGGGUUUACAAAAUGGUCUUCUGUGCAGACAUUUGGGUACAAAUUUCUUCCCGAAUGAAGAGGAAAAUGUCAUUUCCUUUCCUAUACAAGCUGAUCUCAAUGCAGGAGAUGAAGACUCCGAGCUUUUCCCAACGAAGUUGAGGGUUUGCUGUCCAAUAGAGUGGGUUGUGUGGUGAAUUCUUCCCAAACUACUCACUGCAGUAAACUAUCCCAACUGCUACUGAGCCUUUCAGCGAGUGGUUGAAUCACUAAGCCUGAGCUCUGGGAAGGCAGCCCCAUCCAUCCCAGCCCAGGCUGCACCUCCCUGGGGCUGGGUGCCAUCCCCAGUGGUCCCAUCCCCAUCCAACAGCCCUGAGGCCAAACCACCCACUGCAGCGUCUACGAAUACAAUUCCCAUUCCAGCCCUUGCUUUCCUACAUGGGAGCUUGCAUCCUUCCCUCCUCCCUCCGCCCUCCCUGGUGGUGCAGCUGCUCGGCUCUGCGAGGGAAAGGCUCCCAGAUGUGCUUGAGAGGGAGCGGGCAGAGUCCCGAAUUCCACUCCGUGCUGUGCGGACUCUUUGUAUAUUUUGUUUUAAGGAGAAAAUAUGCAUCGAGUCCUCGGAGAAAGGCUGGGGACCAGGCACGUCCCUGUGAUCACGACGAGCACAGGGGCUGCAAGCCAUCCACCCUUGGCUUUUCUCUGCUUGCGGGAUGGCAGCUCUCAGCAUCAUCAUCAGCUGAAACCCAUCUGCAUUACACAGCAGGUCCCUAACCCCUUCGCUGGCUCAAAGCACCCUUCCAGAAAAUGGGAUUUUCUGCUAAAAGAAACCCCAAAAAUCAGGCACCUAACUGCUCACAUUUGCUAUUUUUAGUAUUUUUGGCUCACGAGCCGAGUGCCAUAUCAGAUCAAUAAAUAUUCACACGCUCCUAAGUGCUUUGUGGAGUAGGUUUCAUUGCAUUUCAAGCGCAUUUAGCUGUGGCACUUGGUAGCUACAUGGUUAUUGCGUGAGACAGUACGUUUAUGAAGUGUUGGCCUUCAUUUAGUUAAUCAUUUCAUUGAUGUGCAAUAUAAAAAUAGUAUGAAACUAAUUGUUUCCAUAGAAACAGGAACCCAGCAAAUUAUUUCGUAUCACAGCUUGGCAGAAGAAAAAGAAGAAACUGCUGUAAUUGUUCCCAUUAGUGAAACACAGAGGAUUCAUGCUCAAUCUCUACUACACUCGGCCUCACUUCUGCUGUGAAUUAAGGGACGAAAAGUCAGCGCAAGAACCACAGGAAAAAAAAGCACAGAAACAAUCUGCGCUUUAUUGAGUAUUUGUUGUUCUGCCACCAAAACAUUUUCCCUUCUGCUUUACAGGUUUCUGGCCAGCAGCUCCAAGGACUGUCACAACCAUGCUGUGCGCUUGGGAACAUCAUGCAAUGGGGCUUUAACUGUGAAUGGAGGACAUUGUGGCCCCACUAUGGGUGGGAUAAGAACAACUCUCACCUCAAGGCUCCCACACUGGCACAAGGUAGGGAUUUCUAUCACCUGCUUGCUAAGGAAGAGACUUGGAUAAGGCGUUCUUAUUUGAAAACGUUUUUGGAGGUCUUUGCAGUUUUGAAACAAUCUGUACAGUUAACAUCGAAGAAAGUGUAAUUAGACACUUCGAGGACUGGAAGAAAUUAACUCCAACCACAGACUGUCACUCAGACCAUUAUUUAAUUAUUCUCCCCAAAUGCGCAAAGCACUUAGUUUUAGAAUAACAGAAAAGAAGUCUAACUCCUCACCAAGAGCUAAGCCUCUGGGUGGGGACGCAAUGGGCUCCCAAGCCAUAGGAUGGGGACAGGAACGAGCACCUUGGGCACAACUUUGGGCUCUGAAGGACAUGAUUGAUGCCUGAAUGGCUGGAACACAGUCAACGGGAGUGCCCGGCCCUAGGUACAACAGGCUGUGGGAGAGAAGAUCGCCUUCAGUUUCCAACAUGCCAAGGAAACCGCUGAGAAAUUGCUGUUUUCCUUCUUCUGCAGCACCGCGCAGAGCCGUUGACUCACCCCUCGCUACAGAAACCUGGCUAGAAAGAGAUUAUUGUGAUUUCUGACUGUUUCUUUCCUAACUACAAAAGACCCCAUUCAUCUGGGCUAAUUUUGACGGGAGAGCAAGGGGUAUCAGUAGCAUGAACUGUAUCUGAGCGUCUCGACCGCAUUUCAGCAAGCCAUGCCUGUUGGCCAGUUCCAGCCGGUGAAAUGGAUAUCCUCCGUUUCAAGCUUUUUAGUGGAUCGUUUCUCUGGUUCUAAACAGAGGUAUCUUUUCUGGCCGUGGCAAGUUAGAGAAGUACUGACGAAGCAGAGACGGCCAUUUUCAUGGCAAGAACAAGAGGCCAUUUAAAAAGGGGGAAAAGGCCGUUCUGCUCAGUCAAUGCACCAACAUUCGUCUGCCUACACGCGCCCCGCAUGUGCACCAAGGCUGUGUCCAGAACAGUGAAUCUCUGCCUUAUUUCCAAGGGGUGAGCAUGAGCAAAACAUACUUUUAUUUUUAUUUUUUGAAGAUUUUGCUCAAUUGUGAGCCUUCUUGGAGCUCAGCUGGGACCGCCUGCAUGUGUGGGAAGGGCUGGAACAUAAUUGCUUUCAGCAGAUAUCACUGUAGUCUGUAAUUAAAACAUACGAGGCUGCCAGCUUCAAAUUUUCUAAGCGAUUUCAUCUGUAUUUGGGUGAUCACUUCUCUCUGAGAGGCUCUUAUUAAAUGAUAUUUCAAGUUCCAGCGCACUAAAUGGGUGAAAAACUGAUUUUGUCCUCUCCUUCUUGUAGUCCUACAAGAAGGACAAACUAGGCAGCAUGGAGAGGCAGAGCUCAGACCUCAUAAGCACAUCCCUUCACCAGGGAAAUGCUUGGUGAAAGCUGCUCAAGAAGUGCUGCUCCAGAGACAGAGCGGAAGGUGUUGAUAAAGUUUGUUAAAGAAAAGGGGGGGUGGGGGGGGAAGAAAGGCUAACAAAAAAAUCUGGCACCUCCUAAAUCAGAGUGACAAUUUCAGUGCAGUGUUUACAUGGGGUAGUAAAAAUAAAUUGCCUGAGACUGAUUAUACCCACAUGGCACUCUCCAGCCAACAGGGAUGUCCUCCAGUAUUGGAAACCCAACACAGGGAAACACAUGUGGCAAUCCUCAGCCCACUGGGGCCAGCACUGCUUUCUUCCUUGCCUCAAUAGAUGGAAGCAGCAAUGAGAAGAGGGAUGUGCAACUCCCCACCAAUGGACAUGAUCGCUUUGAGAACCACGUUUGGCUUACAAGGCCACUGCUGCUGAGUCCUACAAGGGCUGUGGGCAAAUGAGCAGAGUGGGCUUGGGGCAUCCUCAAGCUUUGAGAAAAAAUGCCUGCUGGAUCAAAAUGGGUAAUGGAAGAAGGCAAAGAUGACAGCAUCACUGUUAGAACUGUAAUGAGUCACAAAUGCUAUUUUGAUGGCUUUCUUUGAAAGAUGUACACAAGAGCCAACUGAUGUAACUAAAGAUCUCCUAGGCUUUAUAAUCAGCACGGCCACAAAUGCAUGUGGUAGAACACAUGAG